rnacentral:lncRNA from 1 species
AGGUAUUGUUGUAUUCUAUUAAGUAUGGCUACUGCAGGAAGCUUACCUGCAGCAACUCCAUCAACCGUCAUCACAGACAAUCAACGAAGAUGGGUAUCAUUGGAAUUUGUUUAAACAAACUUCUUACUCCUGUAUUGAGGAAUGUCCUUGGAAAAGAAGUUCCAGUUUGGUAUAACAGUCUUUGCUUAUCGCCCAACCAAAUUAACAAACAGACUUACAAAAUACAUGCAACUAAAUUACCGCCUUCCAAACUAAAGCUGAAUUAUGGAAAUAUCAACAAGAAUUAUGACAACCACAAGCUAAUAUAUAAUGCUUAUGAUUAUAAUGUUAUUCGUCCAACCUUUCAUGGCAAAAUUCAGUGGAUUUGAUCAAACCAUGGACCUGUCUGGGGCACUAACAGUGAUGGGUGAAGCUGAUCCAUUUCACACUUCUGGAGCUGCUCUGCUGGCAAAUACAGUUCGUAAAGUUGUUAGGAAUGACUGGGCUCAUUGUGAUUUUUCACACUGGAAUGAUGCAAAUUAUCGCUCCUGCAUACAACAUAUCGAGUCACUUGUGAAGAAACUGAAUUUACCUAGUGCAGAUGAAAACGAUUUUGUGAAUGAACUAGACAAUUGGAAAGAUAAAGGU